rnacentral:misc_RNA from 1 species
GGUUUAUUCAUUUUUUGAUUGGUGUGAAACUAGGUUAAGAAUAUUAUCAUUAUUCAUGAGUUUUGGGUAUUGUCAAGACUAAUGAUAUUUUAAUUUAAUUUGUAACAGAUUGAAUUAUGUUACUUAGUGUUAGAUUGUACUAUUAUAAUGUUAUUGAUUUAUUCAAAUGGAAAAUGUGUCUCAUUGUACAAGGUGUUAAUGCCAAGUUUCUAUGUUAGUUUCACAUAUGUAAUAGAUGAGAAUUUUAGAAUCCUAAGAAUUUACCAAGUUCUCUUUUUUCUUGUUGUGCCUGAGCUAUCAUGGAAUGCAACCCUUAUCAAAGGAUGUAAUGACCAA